rnacentral:lncRNA from 1 species
CCCAGGGCCCACAACAGAGGCCGCCACUACUCCAGCAGUGCUGCAACGAGCUCCACCAGGAAGAGCCACUUUGCGUUUGCCCAACCUUGAAAGGAGCAUCCAAAGCCGUUAAACAACAGGUUCGACAACAGCAAGGACAGCAGGGACAGCAGCUGCAGCAAGUAAUUAGCCGUAUCUACCAGACUGCUACGCACUUACCUAAAGUUUGCAACAUCCCGCAAGUUAGCGUUUGUCCCUUCCAGAAGACCAUGCCUGGACCCUCCUACUAGAUUCCAAACGAAACCCUCGAGUGUAUGAAUGUGGUUGUCGAUAUAUGUCAACGCCACACUUCAUCUCGUAAUAUGUAAGGUCUUAUCUAGGAUGUUUGAGGCUAUGUAAUUAGCACUACUCCGUAAUAAAAGAGGUUUUUAAUGUUUUAUUCGGUGUGCAUGCUCUCUAAGUGGUCCAAGAUUUUAGUAUUCGAGCAAAUUUUCCUAUCAAAUUUGUGCGUUACUUGAUCAACUUAACUCGUACAUGUACAUCCAUGGGCGAAUCUACGUGACGUAGGGAGGGGGCAGCUGCCCCCAUUUAAUUUUAAAAAUGUUAAAUAUAUAACCAUAACAAAACAGAUAAUGUUGACUAUAGUGGUUCUAGUGGUUAUUGCCUCCACUAACUAAAUAUAUUUCCUCCCGUUGGUUUAUGUUUUCAGUCACGUUUUUGCUUUUAUUUCUAAAGUUAUUUAGUUUCCAACAUAAAUUUUAAACUAUUUUCUAAUUUACAUCUCCUAUAAAUGCACAAUCUAAUUAUCAUUACUUUUAGGAUUUCAAGUCAUACAAUAAUAUAUAAAUCUAUGAUAUUAUUCUUUUUACUAUAUCUUGUUUUCUUUCAUCAUUUUUGUUAAUUAUUAUUGAAUAACUAUUUCUUGGAAUGUAUAUUUACUUUUAAGGAUAUAAAUUAAAGAGUAAUCACAUAUUUUAUAAAGGAAAACCAUUUUAAACUAACGUCUAUAUAUUCCUAUACAAUAUUUGAUAUAAUAUCGUCUAAUGGGUUACCUAUCCUCAGUUGGCUUCUCACCUCUCAUCCAAACCCUUUAAGUUGGGUAUAUCAACGUCGAUUUCGACUAUUUCAAGCUCUUUAGAGCUACCGUUUCAGGGUUACAAGUGAAGCGUAUCUAAGGGUUCCUUUACUUUGAGCACGUCUCUCCCUUUAACAUUGUUUUCUCAUGUUUUGUUGUAGUACUUUUAGUAUUCAUUUUAUAGUUGAAUGUUCCUCCGGUUGUAGUUCUUUAAGCCUUUAGGCCUUUAAUAUAUUGUGUUUCAAAAUAUAUAUAUAUAUAUAUAUAUAUAUAUAUAUAUAUAUCUAUAUAUGUAUAUAUAUUUAUAUUAGUUUUAAUUGUAGGUUCCUAAAAACUAUGGAAAAUCUAACCGAAGUAUCUAAAAUUAGAUAUUUAAUUUUCAGUUAGAUUUUCCAUAGUUUUUAGAAAUCUGUAAUGAAAUAUUAAUAUAAAUAUAUAAUUACAUAUAUACAUAUAUUAAGAAUUGUUUGGAUAGAACCCCCAUUAAAAAAAUACUCUAAUGUAAUUACAUAUUUUAUGAGUAGUAUUUGGAAGUAUGUUAUACCCAUCCCACCAGAUUUAUCCCACAGAGGGGUUAACUAUUUUAUGAUUCAGAAAACUUAAUCUGCAAAGUGAAAAUAUAACACGCAUCUAUCUCGUUUAAAUUUGCGGAGAACCUACAAGAGCCGUUUACAUAUUACUUAUAAUUUUUUUUAUAAGUAAUAUGUAAACGGAUAUUGUAGAUUUUCCGCAAGUUUAAACGAGAUAAGAUGUGUGUUAUAUUACUUAUAAUAAAAUAAUUAUUUCAUAUAUUUUUAAUUAUACUUUUAUCAGAAUAUAUUAUAUAGUUAUAACUAAAGUUAUAUAGAUAGUUAUAGUUUAACAUAUGAUUUAUGUGUAUAAAUAAUAAUUUACGGGAUGAUGUAUAUCCAUAAUUCAAAUUUGAUCGACAAUGGACAUGCAUCAGCCUAAAUUAUAAUUAGACCAAUCGUACGAAGUAGAUCCAGAUAGAACGAUUUUAAAUAUAUGAAAUAUAUGAAAAAUAUAUAUAUAUAUAUAUAUAUAUAUAUCUCCUAUACAUUAAAACAGAAGUCACUUUAGUGAUUUUUGCUGAGGUGGCACUCAUAUAGAGCUUCUCAGGAAAAACGAAUUCUAUUGGUUGGUUUUUUUGAAUUUCUCUUUUUCAUUUUUUUUUUCAUUCCCCUCCGUGUUUUCUAAAACGCCGUCGUAUGUCCUGAAUUUAUUCUUUUUUUUUCAAUCGCGUAUCAAUGGAAGCUCUAUAUGGUUUCGAUCCGAUGAAGAGAGUCCGACCAAAGGAAUUUGCUACUCCCUACUCUGCUACUUCAAUCAUAUCCAUCGCGAACAUCAACGAUAACCAGACGAGGUUUAGUUUGUCGAUACUCUCAGAAUUUACGGUUUUUUUGGUUUAUCUGAUUGGAUUCGACUUUUAAGCUAAUUGGCGAAGAUUUUUUUGGAUUCUCUGAUUGGAUUCGACUUUUAAGUUAUGAUACAAAGAUUGUUUGAUUUCUCUGAUUGGAUUCGACAUAUAUUAAGCUGUAAACUACGAUCUGCUUAUUAAAAUUUAGAAUAUUUGUAUCUAAUUGACUGAUUAACCUUCUUGCUGUUGAGGUCUUGAUUCUCUAGAACCAGACAAUUGCCACGACCAGAGAUGUCGUACGCGGACUGUCUACUGAUGGAACAAGAAGAGACAACUGACAUUUACAAGAAACUUGCAUUCGACUUCAGUCUCUGACUCAGGACUGUAAGAUUAUCUUCUCCUUAAUAACUCAACCAGCAUUUAGACAGUCCUCUCUUGAGAUAUUCAAGUUUGGUUUUUUUGUUUCAUUAGCACGAUUUAGAGCUUCACAUUACUAAUUCCGAUAGUCUGUUGCAUCGCUAAUUGCUAUUCGAUUUAGAGGUUCACAUUACUAAUUUAGUCUGUCGGUUUCAUUCCUUACGGUUUCCGGUCUGUUGGAUUUCGGAUUUUCAAGUUUGCUUUUAGUUUAAUUAUGGGAAAAAAUAUGAAUAGCCCAUUUAAAAAAGGCCUAAUAUAUUGUCGAUAGAUGUUAAGCCCAUAUAAUUAGAUAACUUGCGCAAGAUUGUAAACUAAUUUUCAUAUUAAUAACUUUCCUUAUUAUUCGAAUCAAUUACUUGCGCAAGUUAUUUUCGUAUUUAUUACAUUACUUGUGCAAGUUAAAAUCAUAUCAUAUGCAAAUCAAUUUAUGACAAUACACAAUUAAAAUAUUUCUUUAAACGAUUUCAAUCUUUAUUAGGGGUCAUUAAUAUGAUAAAUAAAUCGGCUUAAUAUAUAUAUGAGAAACCCGAAUGGUUAAAAUACAAACAUUCAGCUCUAACAAAAACAAUGGCAAUGGUGCGAGCCAAAAAAAAUAUUGUUUCUUAUGUGAGAGAAUUAAAACCCCGUAAAGAUACGUCCCGUAUUGAAGUUAGGAUUGUUCGCUUAUGGAGAAACUAUAACAAAGAAUCCGGAAACACCAUUGAAAUAGUGGUUGUUGAUAAAGAAGUAAGUAUACAUCAUACAACAUGGAUUUAUGAAAGAAGCAUCGUUUAUAUACUUAUUCUGCGUUUAUAAAACUCUUAUAAUUUUUGUGACCAGGGGACAAGAAUUCAUGCUUCAGUUGGUGAACAACUCAUCAAAAAAUUCGAUGACAAGCUACGAGAGGGAGAUGCGAUUGUCCUCCAGUUGUUCAAAGUGUACGAUGCAACUGGUGAAUACCGUACAAUGCCACAUCCUUACAAAAUUGGCUUCUUUCCAACAACUUUUGUUGGAAAAACUGAUGAUUUUCCAAGUGCAGUUCCCGAAAAGUAUUUCGCGGACUUUUCUGAUAUUCUUGGUGGAAAUUUGGAUCAUAACUGUUUGGUUGGUGAGUUAGUUUCUUACGCAGUUAAAGAGUCUUUCACUUUGUAGUAACUUGUUUCUGAUUUGACACUUAUUUUUAUUAUGUAGAUGUGGUUGGCCAAAUAGUUAACGAGGCUCUCUGGAAAACAAAAUAAUAAAAGUAAAAGACAACAUGAAGCUCUUGGUUGAGUUGCGUGACCCAAAGUAAGACCCGGUUUUUAAUCUUAGUUAUACUUUGCUAGCUAAACCUCUAUUAACUGUAUUUAACUUAAGUUUAUAUUAUACAUUAAUGUGAAGAUGAUGUGUACUCUGUGGGGUUUUUAUGCUAAACAAGUAUACGAUUACAGUAGGAGUAACAUGUCCACCAUGAUUAUUUGUGUUAUCAGAUUAUGUUCUGUUAAAGAGUGGAAAGGUAUAUAAUUGUGUUUCAAUUUGUGUAAAAUAAUUGCGAGCAUAACAUAUGAAUAAGAUCAAUAUACUUUGUAGGUGCUUACUCCAUAUCUAGCGGGUAUAAUUCAAUCCAUAUUCUGCUCAACCCAACACUUGAUUUUAUUGAGGAGUUCAAAUCAAGGUACGUGUCAUGCGUCUUACGUUCCAGACCUAUGGAGGAGUUCAAUACAUAUAGAUGUUUAUUUUAAUUUGUGAACGUCAUUUUCACUGACGGGAUUUUAAAUUAUGUGUGAUUAUUUGUGAUGGCAGUCUCCCUGAUGAUUCACUUGCUCUUACAAACAACGAUAGUAGCCAAUGGUCUGUUGGUACUGCUACUUCUAUUCGUGCCAGGUUUUUUGUUCUUAAUGAGAGGCUAACCAUCAGAGAGAUCAUUGACAAUACUCUGGUAUAUAGACUACACUCUUUGAUCUCAAAUUUUUUACACAUGCGUAUACUCCAUGUGUUAUCAAUGCUUUUAACAUAUUGUUAUUGACGAAUAGGUUGACACUUUUGUCACUCUGGGGACUAUUGAAACAAUUGAUACUGAACGUGGCUGGCAAUAUUUAAGUUGCAAAUACCACAGCAAAAAGUGAUGCCUACCACCAAUGUUGAUGCUGAUGGCCGGCCCUUGUUCUUCUGCAAUACGUGUGACAAAGAACACAGUGAUGUCAUUUCCAGGUAUUGAGCGGGUUAGAUAUACAAAUAGAUGAGUUGGGUAAAUCGUCACUGAAAUAGUCUGUGACGUUAAUUAAUUUUUUUGUACAGGUUCAAAUUAAUUGCCCAUGUCAAGGAUGAUAGCGGUGAGGCUAAUUUUCUUUUGUUUGACGCUAAUGCUCAACAAAUUGUGCGUCAUUCUGCUGCUGAACUCUAUGAUGAGGUACUCUUAUGCAAUAUAAUUAUACAUCAAUUAACACAAUAAAUUCGUUUGUUUAACCUAUCUCUAUGUAAUUGUAGAAUGAAGAUGAAGACUUCUUACCAGAAGCAGUUAGCGAUCUCUUUGGUAAGAGAGUCCUUUUUGAGAUUUCAGUUGACGCUGAUAACAUUAAAGGAAAGAGCUCUCAGUAUGUGGUUCGAUUGGCUACUGAUGACCGUGAAAUGGUUGAGGAAUUUGCUGAUUUGCCUCCUAAACCGGUAAUUUACUGCUUCUAAUUGCGAUUAAUUUGAUUGUUACAGGAGCAUAAUAUUGAUUCGAUUAAAUCUGUUUCUUGCAGGUCCUAAUGUUGGAGUCCGCAUAUGAUAUUUCCUCUGGUUCUGGUGGUUUUACAGCAACUCCUUUGUCCAAAAGAAAAAGCGAACAAGAUGACGAAAGUUACCUUGAGGAUCAACACUCUGUUAACAAGAAACUCUCUCAAAAGAAACUCAAGGGCGAGUGAACUGUCUCUUUUUCAAAUGUUGUCCUUUAUAUUGUUUGCUUAACUCAUCAAAUUACUUACAAAAUUUAUUUAAUUUUUUGCAGGUUUCUAAUUGAAUUUGCUUUCUUUAUCGAGAAAUGUACUUCAUAAUUUAUAUUAUUUAUGGAUAAUAUUUUGAUUUUUAUUAUAUUUUCUUUUAAUAUGUGUACAUAAAUGUUUGUUUAUUAUUUAUGGGAAAAUAAUAUUAUUCACCUAAAAUAAAGAAUUACGAUACAUAUACAAUACAAUUCUAAUUAAUGAUAAUAUAAAAUAUGUUACUUCUAAAACUAUACACUUUUUAUUCCAUUUUUUAAAUGAAAGUAUCUUCGUAAACACACAAAAUAUUUUGUGACGUUGCAAUUAUACAUACACACAAUAUCUGCCUUCAUACUGACGUUACUGUGUUCCCUCUCGUGAGGUGUGGACCGAGAGGAAACACAUGGUGCGGGCCAGUCACGUUCUUAUGCCCGCACAGGGUGCGAACGGAUCACCUAGUAUAUAUAUAACAGGGCGGAUAACUCAAAUUCCCAGUUUAUAUUGACUGUGGCUAGUAAGUCAACUUUAACUCCUAUGCUUCUGAUUACAGACUCUCUCAACUGCACUACCUCCAAAAUUAUAGACUCUCAUCACAUUUAAAACCAACUAAAUGUCUUUUUAUUUUAUGAAAUUAAGUUUUUACCUUCUUUCUAAAAGAAUCGUUCAUAACGUCAUGCCAAAACAUGAGCUAAACGUCGCAUAUAGCAUGCAGAUGCGGAUGACUAUUUUGUUCGUNNNNNNNNNNNNNNNNNNNNNNNNNNNNNNNNNNNNNNNNNNNNNNNNNNNNNNNNNNNNNNNNNNNNNNNNNNNNNNNNNNNNNNNNNNNNNNNNNNNNNNNNNNNNNNNNNNNNNNNNNNNNNNNNCGCUUAGUUCACUCUUUACUCAAACUAAAUCUCAUCAUAACAAACAAGGUUAAUAACAUACACAAAUGGCGAACAAGCUCUUCCUCGUCUCAGCAACUCUCGCCUUCUUCUUCCUGCUCACCAAUGCCUCCAUCUACAGGACGGUCGUGGAAGUCGAUGAAGAUGAUGCUACAAACCCAGCGGGCCCAUUUAGGAUUCCAAAAUGUAGGAAGGAGUUUCAGCAAGCACAACACCUGAAAGCUUGCCAACAAUGGCUCCACAAGCAGGCAAUGCAGUCCGGUAGUGGCCCAAGCUGGACCCUCGACGGUGAGUUUGAUUUUGAAGAUGACAUGGAGAACCCCCAGGGCCCACAACAGAGGCCGCCACUACUCCAGCAGUGCUGCAACGAGCUCCACCAGGAAGAGCCACUUUGCGUUUGCCCAACCUUGAAAGGAGCAUCCAAAGCCGUUAAACAGCAGGUUCGACAACAGGGACAAAUGCAGGGACAGCAGAUGCAGCAUGUAAUUAGCCGAAUCUACCAGACCGCUACUCACUUACCUAAAGUUUGCAACAUCCCGCAAGUUAGCGUUUGUCCCUUCCAGAAGACCAUGCCUGGACCCUCCUACUAGAUUCAAAAACGAAACCCUCGAGUGUAUGAAUGUGGUUGUCGAUAUAUGUCAACACCACAACUCAUCGCGUACUAUGUAAGGUCUUAUCUAGGAUGUUUGAGGCUAAUGUAAUUAGCACUACUCCAAAAUAAAAGAGGUUUUAAUGUUUUAUUCGAUGUGCAUGCUCUCUUGAUCAACUUAAACUCGUACAUCGGCUGUUUAUCGGAAUGCAAAACACCGUUCAUACUGAUCUCUGGCUCUCCUCCACCAAUCAGUAAUCACGUAUAGGUUUUAAGUUGCUUAUAUUUUUCCUCCAUAAGAAACGUAUCAUGGAUAAACGGCGUUUCUUCAUUUUAAGACUACAAAUUAAUUCGCAACUAAUUUUUUUUUUUUUGUAAAAGAAUUCGCAACUAAUUUUUCAACUAUUAGACGAGCUUUAGACCAAAAAAAAAAAAACUAUUAGACGAGCAUUGCAUGAACUAUUUCUGUCUUUCGCUAGAGCUAUAGCAGACGAAUCCAUUUGACUCCUACGCUUGAAGCUGCCUUUUGUUCUUUCUAUGUAGUUUAAGAUGGAACGUUCUUUAAGAUGCAAACUAGAUUUUGACCCGCGCUUUCAAAGCGCGGGAUUGUUUCUGUUUAAAAUAAAAUAAAAAAUAAAAAAUAAAAAAUAAAAAUAUUUAUAAAUAUUUUGUUAAGUUUUGGUUGGAUCGAUCAAAAUAUUUGUAUUCGAAGAACCGAAUCAAACCCGUAAAGUUAUACCAAACCCAAACCACAUUGGGAAAAUACUUAAAUGGUCCAAAGCAUUAAUAUUGGAAUAGAUAGCACCAUACCCGACUUGAGUCAAAAUAUUUUGAGUAAUCUGAAAUUAUACGAAUCACAAUCUAUACUAUCUAAAAACCUAAAUAUAUGAAAAAUACUAAUUUAACUGAAAUAAAUUGAAAUAACAAAACUUUCUAGAUUUUAAUUAGACUUAAACGUUCAUUUGUAUUAACUCUAGAUUUUAAUAUUUUUUGAACCAAUAAAAUUUAAUAUUCUUUGUCCAACCAUUUUACCCAAAUUUGAUUACACAUUUUAGAUAAUCAACAAACACGUACAUGUUUAUUGUAAAAAAAAUUGACUGGAUUAUGGAAAUGUUUAUAAGAGGAUUUAGAGAUUAAAUAAAUUUAAUUGGUCGUCUGAUAAUCUUUUAAAUAAAGAGAUUAAAUAUAUCAUAUAUAUACUACAUACCUAAAAGUCCUACAAUUAAUGACCUAGAUUUUCUGAAUCUAUAUUUGUUAAUUUCACGCAUUUGUUUUCAUUAAACUGAUUUGUUAAUAUAUUACAUAUACUUAUAAAUAAAUGCAAUGGCAAAUCUCGUAAUAUCUAAUGAAAACUAAGGGUAGAAUCUUAAUAGGGAUUCUGCUUUAAUAGUAUAGAUGAUUACACAACUAAAAGGAGUACAAUGGGAGAUAUUUGACAUUUCUCCAAAAGAUUACCAUUUGAAAUAAAAUAAAAUGUAUUUGCAAAUAAAUCACAAAACUCUGUUAGAAAAGAAACUGAAUUUCUUAAGAAAGUUCUUAAAUUUUGUAACUAUAUUUAUAAGAAGAAAUAGAUUUUGACCCGCGCGUCCGUGCACGUGUAUUUUUUAAAAAAUAUGAUGUUAUUUGUCUUUUAUAUCACUAUUUAGGGUUGGACAAAAAACUCGAUUUCGAAGACCGAAUCGAUUCCAAUCCGGAUAAGUAGUACCAAAUCCGAACCGAAAUCGAUUAAAUAUCCGAAUUAUUCAAAAUUUUGGUAUCUUGAGAACAUAAAUCUAAUCUGAUCCGAACCGAAGUAUUUUGGGUAUCCAAAAUAGAUUUACAUACUUAUAUAUUAAUUAUUUUUAAAUUUAAUAUAUAUAAAAACAUUCAGAAUAUAUAUGAUACUUUUAAAUUCGUUUAAAUACUUGAAAUAUAUACAAAUAAUCAAACGUAAAUGUCUAAAAUAGUUAAAAUAUACUCAAAACUCCAAAAAUACUUAAAUAAUUAUUAAUUUCCUAUCUAAAUAUUUAAACCAAACCAAUUUAUAUUUUAAGUUAGGUACUCUGACAUAUGUUAUUCAAAUUUAUAUAUAAUAUAUUCGAUUGUUUAUAGAUUUUUUUAAAAUUAAAGAAUAUAAUAAAUUUUAAGUUUUUUUAUAAUAAUUUAAAUUGAUUAUCCAAAUCCGAACCGAAUCCUCAAAGAUCUGAACCAAAUCCGAACCGAAUCCUCAAAGAUCUGAACCAAAUACGAAAUUCCAAACAAAAAUGAACCCGAACGUCCACCCGUAAUCACUAUUAUAUAUUCUAUAUAUGUCAUCAUAAGUUACAAAAUAUGUGUUAUCAUAUAAUUAAUCAUACUUUAUAUGGUGUUGUCUUCCAAUUAAAAGGAAGUGGUCUCCUAUGGAUUUGCCAAAUCUAAUAUAUAGUAAAAUUAUAUGGUGUUGUUUCUUCAAAAUCAUUUGGAUUUAUGAUCGGAGUAUUGAUUUAGAAAAUGCUAGAUACUGUAUCUGUUCACUGCCAAAAAAUCAGUUCAUUAGUAUAUUUAAUACAAAUAGAUAAUACAAGUAUAUUUCACUAUAGUCACGAAAGAUUGAAUUACUUCAUUUAGAGCCAUUACUUUUUAUGUAUUUGUAUCUCUUAGGUAUAUAAGCAUAUUACUAAAUUAAAUAAGUAAAUUUAAGAAUUCCAAAUGUUAUGGAAACUCAAAGAUGUGAUGUUGAUAACAUUAUUAUCUUUAAACAUUUGAGCAAGGAAUAUAUGGCAUCUUAUUUAAUUUGAGAUUGAUGUACCCGACAAUUCACAAAAUUGUAUAAUUUAUAUAUUUUAUUUAUGGAAAUUAGAGAGUAACGCAUUAGCUUAUACGACUAUACCAGAAUCCCGUAGACUAUAUUUGAGUGAUUUUGCAACAUGUCUUUUCUACCAUCAAUUUCACAAAACAAAUAUGAUAUGACUACUGAAAUUGAUGACAUGUUUUAUAGCUUAAUAUGACAUAGACAAUUACAUUUAAUGUUAAUUUAUAUUUUUGAUAAACUUUUUAAAAUAUGGUAAUACUUCAUAUAUUACAUUUAAUGUCAAUUUAUAUUUUUUGGAAAUUAUUUUAGAAUAUAAGAAUAACUCAUAAAUCGUCAUUAAAAUAAAUGUAUUCAAAUAUGGCAUUAUAAAUUUUGAAAUAUAAUUUAAUUAUAUAUUUUUAAAUUAUACAAUUUUAUUACUAAAAUUUUCAAAAAUGUAUACAAUUUUUUAAAAAAAUUAUAAAAAUUUAAUCGUAAAAUCAUUAUUUUCUUAUGUAUCUACAAAUUUUACAAAUAUUGUCUAAUUUUAAUUUUUGGUAAUUAUGCAACUUUUACAAAUUUAUUUAAUUAAAAUAAAUAGAUAGAAAAUCUAUCUAAGAUUAUAAUUUCAAAUAUAUACAUGCAUAUUCUUAAAUAUAAUUUUUAUGUUUAAUUAAAUCAAAUUUAUAUUAAAAUAUUGAUAAAAAAAAGAAAAUUUACAAUAUUAAUAAAAAUUUAUUUUAAAAUAUAAUUUAUAUUUAUCUGUUAAAAAAUAUUUUAAAUUUUUUUACUGCACAUGGUGCAAGAAGAUACCUAGUUAUUUAUUUAUUUUUGCAUCUAUGAUUGUGUAAGAAGAUUAUGAAAAAACCAUAAAUUGCCAAACAUUAAGUAUGCAUGAUAUUCUAAUUAAUUAUCCCAUUGGUUCUCCCUUACUAUAUAUAGACAAGGUAUAAGUUUUUCCUAACAAUCACUACUACAAUCUAUAAGAAAUCUCCCUCUUGAUGUAACUUAAUAUGACAAUAUGUAAUUGCUUUGUUUAAUUUGAUCAAUGAAUUGAAGCCAUUCAAAUUGGUGUGGAAGAUUAAACUUAAAAUCAUUGUUAUUGUACUCUGUCUUACAUAACUUUAUAAAUCCAUCUUUUGUGACCAUGAUUUCAACCUCCGCAUAUUGAAGACAUAUAAUUAUGGUUUAAUAAACACUAGGAUAAGACCUGCGCCUCGUGUGCGUCUCGCGCAUGGUAAAUUUAUAGGAAAAUUAUUUAAGAAAUAUCGUAUGAAAAAAUAAAAUUUAUAUUCUCGAUCGAAUAAAUAUUUUUUGUCCUUAAACAAUAUUUUUAAAACUUGUUGUGAAUUAAGUAAUUUGUUUACUGAUGAGCUGAUCCCAUUUUAAAAAAUAUUUAGGUAAAAAAAUCACUUAUUACAGUAGCAGAACUAAUUUUGAGACAAAGACAAUAAUAAAAGUUUGAGAGAUCCAUAAUUAUUAAAGAGAACAUUCUGUAUCUACCCGCAAAUAUGCAUAUCUACGGUUACACGAACUAAACUAACCACAGUCGAUUUAUGUAUGAAGGAACACAAUGUGACAUCAUCACAUUUGAUUUACCAGUCUUCUUCCUAUUUUUACAUUGUUCUAUACAUGUUAUAUAUUUUUGUAUCAUGUUAGUUUUAUAUGAAUAUAAAACUGUUUGUUGUGUUUUCAACAUAAAUUCACUGGUCUCAAUCUAGUUACAUAUUAUACGAGACACAUUUAGUUUCCACCAUGACAUAGAUCUUCAUUACUAUUUCUGAAUUCUAAUUAAGCUCCCAAUAUAUAUUUUCAACCGCCCCCGCACCACCUCCAAAGUAUAUAUAGACUCAUAUCUCACUUACUGAAGGUUUUUUAAAAUAUUAUGAAGUUAAGUUUUUUACAUUCUAUUUUAAAAAUAUCGUUCAUAAGAUGUCACGCCAGGACAUGAGUUACACUUCACACAUAGCAUGCAGAUGCGGAUGACUGUUUUUGUUCGUCACUUGUCACUCCCUUCAAACACAUAAGAGCUUCUCUCUCACAGCGCGCGCACACAAAUGCAUGCACUAUUACACGUGAUCGCCAUGCAAAUCUCCAUUCUCACCUAUAAAUUAUAACUUAACAGCUUCACUCUUUACUCAAACCAAAACUCAUCAUAACAAACAAAGUUAAAAACAUACACAAAUGGCGAACAAGCUCUUCCUCGUCUCGGCAACUCUCGCCUUUUUCUUCCUUCUCACCAAUGCCUCCGUCUACAGGACGGUUGUGGAAGUCGAUGAAGAUGCCACAAACCCAGCGGGCCCAUUUAGGAUUCCAAAAUGUAGGAAGGAGUUUCAGCAAGCACAACACCUGAAAGCUUGCCAACAAUGGCUCCACAAGCAGGCAAUGCAGUCCGGUAGUGGUCCUAGCUGGACCCUCGAUGGUGAGUUUGAUUUUGAAGAUGACAUGGAGAACCCCCAGGGCCCACAACAGAGGCCGCCACUACUCCAGCAGUGCUGCAACGAGCUCCACCAGGAAGAGCCACUUUGCGUUUGCCCAACCUUGAAAGGAGCAUCCAAAGCCGUUAAACAGCAGGUUCGACAACAGGGACAAAUGCAGGGACAGCAGAUGCAGCAUGUAAUUAGCCGAAUCUACCAGACCGCUACUCACUUACCUAAAGUUUGCAACAUCCCGCAAGUUAGCGUUUGUCCCUUCCAGAAGACCAUGCCUGGCCCCUCCUACUAGAUUCAAAACGAAACCCU